rnacentral:misc_RNA from 1 species
AGAAAGUAAAUUUUAAGAGAGAGAAACAAAAACAAACCGUCCUCAUGAUGGGCAGCUUCAUGUACAUUGCCAUCCUACUUGCUGCCAUAAUCUCAACCGUCCAUUCCUGCCCGCCAUCAGAUCGGGCAGCAUUAUUAUCAUUCCGAGCUGCCCUAAAUGAAUCUCACUUGGGUAUUUUCAACUCAUGGAAAGGCAACGACUGUUGCCAUGAGUGGUACGGGGUGAGUUGUGAUCCCACAACUCACCGCAUAGCAGAUAUAAACCUUCGAGGUGAAUCCGAAGAUCCACUCUUUGAAAAAGCUCAUCGUACCGGUUACAUGACCGGUACGAUAUCUCCAUCUAUAUGCAAAUUAGAAAGGCUAUCAAGUCUCACCAUAGCUGAUUGGAAAGGCAUUACUGGAUCUAUACCUUCAUGUAUUACAUCCUUACCAUUCCUUCGAAUCAUAGACUUAGUCGGAAACAAGCUCACCGGCUCAAUCCCUUCAACUAUAGGUCGAUUAAGUCGACUCACUGUAUUAAACGUAGCUGAAAAUCAACUUACAGGGUACAUACCCCGGUCAUUAACCAACUUAUCCUCAUUAAUGCAUUUAGAUCUCCGAAACAACGGUAUCUACGGUAACAUCCCGACUAAUUUCGGAAAAUUACGGAUGUUGAGUCGAGCUUUACUGAGUCGAAACAAGUUAACAGGUCCUAUACCGUAUUCGAUUUCGUAUAUUUACAGGCUUUCAGAUUUGGAUCUGUCAUUGAACAAACUGUCUGGUACCAUACCUCCGUCUCUUGGUAAAAUGCACGUACUUGCAACGUUAAAUCUUGAUGGUAACCAUAUUUCUGGUACGAUACCUCCUAGUUUGAUGAAUUCACGUAUCAACAUUUUGAAUUUGAGUAAAAAUGCUAUGGAAGGUUAUAUUCCCGAUUCAUUUGACGAAAAAUCUUAUUUUAUGGUAAUGGAUUUAUCUUAUAACAAAUUAAAAGGAAGCAUUCCAAAAUCGAUAUCGUCGGCGACGUUUAUCGGUCACCUUGAUGUAAGUCAUAACCAUCUUUGUGGACAGAUUCCAGAAGGUUCUCCGUUUGAUCAUCUGGAAGCUUCAUCUUUUACUUACAAUGAUUGUCUAUGUGGGAAGCCUCUUAAACCUUGUCGCUAAAGUGUAGGUAUUAUUUUUUUAAAAUUUUUUUUUUAUUAACACUAUAUAUUGGUGAAUAUGUUUGUAUUAUUAUGUGAAGAGUAAAGUGUUUUUUUUAAGCAUAUAGUUGUGAUUUUAAAUGUAUAAUUGUGCUUCGGGAUAUAUGAAGGCG